rnacentral:rRNA from 1 species
AAACAACUGCAGACGGCGGAYCGCUCGUCCA